rnacentral:rRNA from 1 species
CCUACGGGAGGCAGCAGUGGGGAAUAUUGGACAAUGGGGGAAACCCUGAUCCAGCGACGCCGCGUGAGUGAAGAAGUAUUUCGGUACGUAAAGCUCUAUCAGCAGGAAAGAAAAUGACGGUACUUGAUUAAGAAGCCCCGGCUAACUACGUGCCAGCAGCCGCGGUAAUACGUAGGGGGCAAGCGUUAUCCGGAUUUACUGGGUGUAAAGGGGGCGUAGACGGCAGCGCAAGUCUGGAGUGAAAUGCCGGGGCCCAACCCCGGAACUGCUCUGGAAACUGUGAGGCUGGAGUGCAGGAGGGGUAAGCGGAAUUCCUAGUGUAGCGGUGAAAUGCGUAGAUAUUAGGAGGAACACCAGUGGCGAAGGCGGCUUACUGGACUGUAACUGACGUUGAGGCUCGAAAGCGUGGGGAGCAAACAGGAUUAGAUACCCCUGUAGUC